rnacentral:rRNA from 1 species
UGGGGAAUAUUGGACAAUGGGCGCAAGCCUGAUCCAGCAAUGCUGCGUGAGUGAUGAAGGCCUUAGGGUUGUAAAGCUCUUUCGCACGCGACGAUGAUGACGGUAGCGUGAGAAGAAGCCCCGGCUAACUUCGUGCCAGCAGCCGCGGUAAUACGAAGGGGGCUAGCGUUGUUCGGAAUUACUGGGCGUAAAGGGCGCGUAGGCGGCCUGUUUAGUCAGAAGCGAAAGCCCCGGGCUCAACCUGGGAAUAGCUUUUGAUACUGGCAGGCUUGAGUUCCGGAGAGGAUGGUGGAAUUCCCAGUGUAGAGGUGAAAUUCGUAGAUAUUGGGAAGAACACCGGUGGCGAAGGCGGCCAUCUGGACGGACACUGACGCUGAGGCGCGAAAGCGUGGGGAGCAAACAGGAUUAGAUACCCUGGUAGUCCACGCGUAAACGAUGAAUGCUNGACGUCGGGGUGCAUGCACUUCGGUGUCGCCGCUAACGCAUUAAGCAUUCCGCCUGGGGAGUACGGCCGCAAGGUUAAAACUCAAAUGAAUUGACGGGGUCAUAGCUGUUUCCU